rnacentral:rRNA from 1 species
UACAGAGGGUGCUAGCGUUGUUCGGAAUCAUUGGGCGUAAAGGGCGUGUAGGCGGUUUGUUAAGUCAUGUGUGAAAUCCCUCGGCUCAACCGGGGAAGGACGCAUGAAACUGGCAAGCUAGAGUACCAAAGAGGGGGGUGGAAUUCCCGGUGUAGCGGUGAAAUGCUUAGAUAUCAGGAGGAACACCGAUGGCGAAGGCAGGUCUCUGGGCUGACACUGACGCUCAUGCACGAAAGCGUGGGGAGCAAACAGG